UGGGUUGUGGCUCAGUGGUAAAGAGCUCACCUAGCAUGUGCGAGGCCCUGGGUUCAAUCCUCAGCAACACAU
rnacentral:tRNA from 1 species